AUUGAACGCUGGCGGCAUGCUUUACACAUGCAAGUCGAACGGUAACAGGGAGCUUGCUCCGCUGACGAGUGGCGAACGGGUGAGUAAUGCGUCGGAACGUGCCGAGUAGUGGGGGAUAACGCAGCGAAAGUUGUGCUAAUACCGCAUACGUACUGAGGUAGAAAGUGGGGGACCUUCGGGCCUCACGCUAUUCGAGCGGCCGACGUCUGAUUAGCUAGUAGGUGAGGUAAAGGCUCACCUGGGGGACGAUCAGUAGCGGGUCUGGGAGGAUGAUCCGCCAGACUGGGACUGAGACACGGCCCAGACUCCUACGGGAGGCAGCAGUGGGGAAUUUUGGACAAUGGGCGAAAGCCUGAUCCAGCCAUGCCGCGUGUCUGAAGAAGGCCUUCGGGUUGUAAGGGACUUUUGUCGGGGAGGAAAUCCCCAGCGCUAAUACCGCUGGGGGAUGACAGUACCUGAAGAAUAAGCACCGGCUAACUACGUGCCAGCAGCCGCGGUAAUAC
rnacentral:rRNA from 1 species